UAGCCUAGUGGUUAGAGCGUUGGACUAGUAACCGAAAGGUUGCGAGAUCGAAUCCC
rnacentral:tRNA from 1 species